AAGUGGGUACAUAUCUUAGUUUUAUGUCUUUAACUUUAAUAAAAAGUCAAAGAAUUGACCAACACUUUUUGUACUCUCAUGUUAUUAUUUACUCUGAAUUGCUAGAGACUAGCAAUAAGCAAGUUGGGGGGUAUGAUGAGAGCACAAAAGUGCGAUCUAAGUACCAAUUAACUUAGCCUAAUGCUAGCAAAAUAAUGAUAAAUAAUAGAUGUUAAUAUUUGCAUGAUUAAUAUUUUAUCCUUAGCAAUUAUUAUAAUAUUUAACAUUAUUUUAUAUAAAUUCAUCUAAAAAGGAUGCAUCCUCCCAACAGCAGAACAGAGUCUAUGACUCUUCUUCCGUGCACCCAAGCGACUCCCCAAAUUCCGCAAUGCAACUCAAGCUUCCAAUCGUCCGUGAACCAGGAUAUGUGAUCUGAUCUCCCGCACCCAAUCCUAGCAUCCUGAUUCCAUCCGCACCAGUGAUCAGCUCCCUUCCCGUCUUGACCGCAAUCACCUCCCAAGCAUCCGUGGAGCACCCGCAUCCAAGCUUCCUGCUCCACAGCGUCCAUGCGGAGUCUUUCCAUCUUCGCCAGGACGAUCCCGAGCGUCCCAGUCAUCCCGUCCGCUCAAUCCGCCUCCUCCAGCGAUGCAACCAUUUCCAUCUCCAGCAUCCCGAUCAACGCCCCUUCUUCCGCCCAUUUCACACGCCUCCCAGCUUCCUCCAUCUUCGUUCUUCA
rnacentral:lncRNA from 1 species